AUGUAUUGUCUGAUAAAAAAUUUAAUAAAAGUUAAAACUUUCAACAACGGAUCUCUAGGUUCUCGCAUCGAUGAAGAACGCAGCGAAAUGCGAUAA
rnacentral:rRNA from 1 species